AGAGUAUAUUUUCUUUCUUGUUCAUACCCAUGCUUUCUUUAGUGCUAACCAUUACAUUACAGAAGUCGUUUGACCAGUGCAUGGUUAAGCAUCAAACAGUAAAUACAAUGUGCAGUUUCUUAAAGGACUCCCAAGUGGCCUAACUCUUGCAGUUGAGGUUAGUGAAUUUCUUGUUAAGUUUCAUUGGAACUAUAACUAUGAAACAUUGGAGCAGUUUUUCCAUUAAAGAAAAAUCCUACAUUCAGGUGUUUAGUAUGAUGGGCAUUUUUAUGAAACGUUUUUUGAAUAUUAUUAAAAAGUGGACUGAGUCUAGUAAUCUGUGAUGCUUCUUUCAGCAAGGAAUUGAAUUUUAGCAGGUCCAAAAAGAAGCAGAAUACCUGUUCACCCAUCAUAAAAAGAUCCUGCUCUUGCGUGAAUAUCUUUAUGCUAAGGCACUCAAACCCAGGAUAAAUAGUACAGUUGGUGGUGACUUAGAGGAAAACAUACUCUUGAAACAUUCUUAAGUCAAAGACAAGUUUUUUCCAUAAUGAAAUCCUCUGUUUUACCAAAGCUCAUCUCAGUUUUCAUUAACAAAAAGUUUAGUUCCGUGUGGCACUCCGGAGAGAUGGAAAAUAAACGUGCCCGCAUCUAUUUAAAUCAUUCAGACACUCAAAUAAAUGCACAUAACUUACUUGAGUGAACUGUUCUCUGGAUACAAGAUAUUCCUUUAGGGCUUCACCUUUACUUAGCUUGAGUUUAUGUGACUACUUCAACUACUGACAAAACGAUCAAGUAGUCUUGUUAUUGUCUUUCAUUUCUGAUCCCUUCUGAAUUUUACCAGACCUUCCUGAGGUCAUAUUUACUUUCUUCACUUUCAAGGACUGCAUGGUUAGUUCUUUAACUUUUUAAAAUAAAUUCCCUCAAUUAGUCAAUUGCUCUCUGCUGACCUUUGCUGAUGCUAAUCUUUGUUAUGUAAUAAUGCAAACAGGACUGAGCAUAAUACCAUUCCAGAUUUUUAAUGUUUAGCUAUUAGAAUAAUUAGUAGGAAAGGCCUGAUGUUGUGAUCUUUUCCUGGUUCUGGAUUUGUUAUUUAUUAGUGCUUACAAACAGCAUUGUUUAUCAUUAUGCAAGCUAAAUGGUACUCAAACUAAUCACUCAGUGUUUCAGUCACAGUAGUGCAACAUGUUUGUAUUCUUAAAAGAUGAGACUUGGAAACUUGAGAACUGUUCUUAGGUAUUACUAGAGCGGUCUGUGGGCAGUUAAGGCACAGCAAAGCAUCCAAAAACAUCUGAUCCUCUUGCUUCGAAAGAACUCGGAGGAGAGGGAAUGAAAACACCUUAAUGAAGAUAUUUGUUUAUAUGUCUGGCAAAUGAAAAGGUUUUUGAAGUAGAAGAGCCUGAAAUGUUAAAUAUGCAAGGAAGGAAAAUUAAAAAGAAUGAGACAAUAAAUAGAAAGACUAGCAGGAUGAAAAUUUGUGUAAAAACAUCCCAGCACAAACAGCUCCUUUUAUUAAAAAGUAAAAAUACAAAAACUGAGUCCCUGAACUGCAAGUUAACUGUUCAUUUUGCACUGAUGUUAACUAUGUAACUCCAGUAUUUUUUUCAAACUUCUGUCAAAUAGUCUCUGCUGAUACUCCAAAAUGGGUAGAGCUGACGUGGUCUUGUAGUACCUCCAGAAAGAGAGGGACUCAACAGCGUAAAGUAUGGCUUUGCAGAAUGGUCAGAGACAUCUGCCAGAAAAACCUGUACUGAAGAAACCUUCAAAGUUUUUCGUUACAAUACUACACCUAGGACUACGCGUGAAAUGCAGUCUUUAAUGUGAACUCUUUAUAGAUUUUAUUCCAUUUAUUCUUCCUGAUCAUGGAAGUAUUAAUAAAAUAGCUACCUUACUUUCGUGUAGGAAAACUUGUAGAAAUGGAUAAAUAAUCAUGGCAAAGUAUAUUUAAAACGCCUAAAAUUAUUGUACAAGUUGAUGAAGGAUGUGCAGUUUUACUCCUUAUGUGUCUUCUUUAAUAAAUCAGAACUACAAAACU